UGGCUUCUGCAGCCCAUGUGACAAAAAACUGGACUGCUCCAGAGAUUAGCCCAGUCCCUGUGCGUGGAUGACAUACAGAUCUAUAAUAUGUCUUGUAUUUUU
ensembl:snRNA Gm23326 predicted gene, 23326